UGGGGAAUAUUGGGCAAUGGGCGCAAGCCUGACCCAGCAAUGCCGCGUGCGGGAUGAAGGUCCUCGGAUCGUAAACCGCUUUUGUGGGGGAGUAGCAAGGAGAGUACCCCACGAAUAAGUACCGGCUAACUACGUACCAGCAGCCGCGGUAAUACGUAGGUGACAAAUGUUAUCCGGAAUCACUGGGCGUAAAGGGUCUGUAGGCGGUUACUUAGGUCUGAUGUGACAACUCUCGGCUUAACUGAGAGAGCGCAUUGGAAACCGGGUGACUAGAAUCACGUCGAGGUCGGUGGAAUUCCCGGUGUAGUGGUGGAAUGCGUAGAGAUCGGGAGGAACCUCGAAAGCGAAGGCAGCCGGCUAGACGAUGAUUGACGCUGAGGGACGAUAGCGUGGGUAGCAAA
rnacentral:rRNA from 1 species